rnacentral:rRNA from 1 species
UACGAGGAACGACGCUGGCGGCGCGCCUAACACAUGCAAGUCGAACGAGAGAUGAAGAGCUUGCUCUUCAAAUCGAGUGGCGAACGGGUGAGUAACGCGUGAGGAACCUGCCUCAAAGAGGGGGACAACAGUUGGAAACGACUGCUAAUACCGCAUAAGCCCACGGCUCGGCAUCGAGCAGAGGGAAAAGGAGUGAUCCGCUUUGAGAUGGCCUCGCGUCCGAUUAGCUAGUUGGUGAGGUAACGGCCCACCAAGGCGACGAUCGGUAGCCGGACUGAGAGGUUGAACGGCCACAUUGGGACUGAGACACGGCCCAGACUCCUACGGGAGGCAGCAGUGGGGAAUAUUGCACAAUGGGGGAAACCCUGAUGCAGCGACGCCGCGUGGAGGAAGAAGGUCUUCGGAUUGUAAACUCCUGUUGUUGAGGAAGAUAAUGACGGUACUCAACAAGGAAGUGACGGCUAACUACGUG